GGUGAACGCUGGCGGAAUGCUUUACACAUGCAAGUCGAACGGCAGCACGGGGGCAACCCUGGUGGCGAGUGGCGAACGGGUGAGUAAUACAUCGGAACGUGCCCAGUCGUGGGGGAUAACGUAGCGAAAGUUACGCUAAUACCGCAUACGAUCUACGGAUGAAAGCGGGGGACCGUAAGGCCUCGCGCGAUUGGAGCGGCCGAUGUCAGAUUAGGCAGUUGGUGAGGUAAAGGCUCACCAAGCCGACGAUCUGUAGCUGGUCGGAGAGGACGACCAGCCACACUGGGACUGAGACACGGCCCAGACUCCGACGGGAGGCAGCAGUGGGGAAUUUUGGACAAUGGGCGUAAGCCUGAUCCAGCCAUUCCGCGCGCAGGACGAAGGCCUUCGGGUUGUAAACUGCUUUUGUACGGAACGAAAAGGCUCUGGUUAAUACCUGGGGCUCAUGACGGUACCGUAAGAAUAAGCACCGGCUAACUACGUGCCAGCCGCCGCAGUAA
rnacentral:rRNA from 1 species